GUGAUCGCAAGUGAAAACGCAGUUUUCCCAACCACACAACGAACGGAGGACGGGCCACAGCCGCGGCGACGACCCGGGUUUCAUCAGAGUUGUUAAGUUCAGUAGAGUUUUGGUCGUUUCUUUUCGUUCUGGCGGAGGAAAAGUGUCACAUUAGCGUGCGAUUCCGUGAGAGAUUUGUCAACUCGUUUUGGGUGUGCACACGGGAGAUUUUCCUCGAUUUCUGAGAUAUUCUCGAAGAACUCGGCUUUUCGCGACAUUGUGCAAGAAGACUCGUCGGUUGGUCUCCGUCAGUCGAUAGUGAACCACGGCGAGUGUGAGAGGUUUUCUGCCCCCGUAGCGAGUUUGAAUUUCCCUGUGCGAGAAGCAAUUUCAACCGAUUUGAGACCGAUCGAUCGCUGAUCAUAUGCCACCCGAAUUCCCAAGGGUAGGAAAAUCCCGAUUGCUAAGAAGAGCGGAUGCGAAGAAGUUUUUCGGCCUUUGCGUGUGACAAGGAGCGUUCACAGAACGAAUAAGUGGGUUGCUACGCGUGUUUUCUGAGGAGGAUCACGAUUGUCUUUCCCUGCCUACUACGAUCUUCAACGAGGAGUAAAACGUGAGCAAAGUUUUGUUGCCCAACGCCUACCUAGACUGUGCUGCUCCUCCCCGAUUGUUCUACAAAACUGCCACCUACUCUGCCGCGAACCGUGAGGGUUACGAUGGAAACUGACGACCAAUUUCGUCAUUAUAUAAGUUUUUAUGACACGGUACUCAAAUUUUAAAUGACAAAAAGUUUACUCAACUGCGAUCGUUGUCCCGACAACUACGAGAAUCUAGUUGCAUUUUUAUAACCGAGACGACUGUUUUAGCCUUUUGGUUGUUCAACGGGGGAGGAAAACACUAACCAGAUGUGUGAAAAUGUGACCGAUUGGACGGGCUAGAGUCAAGUUUGUGCAGAAGUGAGAUUCGUACCGUACCAAACAUCACCGAAAUAAAUUUAGUCAAUUUGUAGAAAGUGGCUUCAAAGUGUUCUUAGAAGUGUGUUCACCUCUCUUGCAGGCAGCUAGAAGACACAGUUUUUGCGAGACAGUGAGGGAUCGAAGGGAGCGACGUCGAAUCAAGGAAAAGUCAACUCGGAAAGUAACCGUGAAAUGAGUCAGUGAGCGCGAGUGUAUGCGAAACAGUUUUCCACCAGCCCCAAAGAAGAGUACACAAAUUAUAAAUCUUGUUGCUGUUUCUAGAGUUGAAUAAUCGGCACAAAGUCAUCGUCGGACACGCAGAGAUGAGGUAGCUGCACCAGCAGGGGAAGUGAAGUGCGGUGAAGAUCAUCAUCUUCGCCGUCGUCAUCAUUAGCGACGACGGACGCGGAACGGGCGGAGACACAUAUCGCGAACGAUCAGACACAUUUCAAGAGUCUAGAGAGUUGCAUGUUGGUUUGCACUAGAAUCUAGCGCGAUCCACGGUGGAUUCACGAGAGGUGGGUGUGCGAGAUAAAAACGCGACGGUGGGGAUACCCCAUCGCAUCGUCAUUUAGGAGAAGUCGUUAGAAUCGGUGCGUGUCCGAAGUAGAAGAAGAAGACGAAAUCGUUAAGAAGAGCGCAAGAGUGAGAAGAUUUAGAUUGAAGUUUUGGUGAAUGCGGAGGAAAAACUGACAACGUGUGGAAAAUCUGCCAGCUUAACUAUGAAGCUGCGCUGAAUGCCGAACUAUGCAGGUACUCUGGAGACUGACGCGACACGGCGAAUAGAUGAUUCAUCGCAACUAGCGGAUAGAAUGAAAAUUCCCUGAGGAUAACAGAACCAGCAUCCAAAUAACUGCUGGGACUUGUUAAUGAAUCAAAGUUAGAAUUUAAGUUUUUUGUGAGUUUGCUACGAAUGUAUGAAUCUAUUUAAAGUGAAAUACGAAUCUCAACAAGUGAUUUACCCCCGAAAGUGUGCAAGUGAAUGUUCGUGUGGCACGUGUACCCCGUGCCGGAAGAAAUCAUGAAGAAAACAGCAGACAUGCAAUUUUGUAGGUCUACGAAGAAGUUUAAAUUAAUAUUGAAGAUCCAUUCGAAUCGUUAUCGAGAGGCACCUUAGAAAGGAAGAAUCGCAUCGGAAAGUAAGUGUCCAACCCCUCGGAACAAGUGGUGUGACAUUUUUUUUACGUCUGCAUACGAGCCCUCGGCGUUAACGAGUGUGGUCAGGUUUGGUCAAGAAGCGGUUGGUGCUUAGGACCUAGGCAGCAACCCCAACGCCCAAACACCGGACGCCAUGUACUUGCGCAAAUGGAGUCCUAUUAAAUAUCUCAUGUACUUAUGGCUAGCGAUUCUAGUGUGGAUAUUCUGUCGGUGUGAGAGUGCCGCUACAAUGCACCUGGCGCCAGCCUCCUCCUCUUCUUCCUUUCCCCAAUUCACGUUGUCAUACGCCAGUGGCACCAGAAGUAGUAGACCUAGUAGCAGCAGCAGCAGUAGUGGUAGUAGCAGUGAUAGUUUUAGUGCUAGUAGAAAUAGUAUAUCAGAGCUGUUUGCCAACAGAAACCACUACCGGGUGCCGGCAGCGAGUCCUACAAGUGAUACUAGUGAAUUAGUUGACUCCACGAGUCCUUACCAACGGCGGUCAUCACCGCAGCCAUCCACACCAGAAUCAACCAUCUCAUCACAACGGCAGUCGGCCGCCCCAUACCUUACCAAAUUAUUCAGCCAAGCUGCCAGUAGCGACUACCGACGGCCAUCCUCGCCAAAUUCGGGGGCCACUCCGCCCAGCUACCAUCAUCCACUAAAUUAUGCUAAUCGUGUGCUUAAGCCAAAUGCCAAAAGCCUUCCGCUACAACAACCGCAGCAGCAACUGCCGAAUCUGCCAGCUAGCCUAAGUCAAUCCAAUUCAAACUACGAUAAUCGCCAAGUUAAGAACAACUACUCCAGCAGUAGUAGUAUUAGUAAUACGAGUAUUAGUGCCGAAAGCGCCACCCUAGCCGAGAAACGAUUACAGCAACAAUGGAAGUUGCGAAUGAGCCAAAAGCGAGCACGACGUCUGGCUCACCGAAUGCAUUUGACCGAGCAACCAGAAGGAUUGGCCCUGGCGUCAACCAAUCGUAACCGACGGGAUUCGGUACGUGCUCCAUUGGCAAAUCCCCGACGAUCCGGAGGAGGCCCAGGUGGUGCCGGUCAAGCUCGCCGCUACUGCUCGGCACGGGACCCGGCCACGCUGGCCUUUGACGCACCCGUAGUCUUCGAGGGCAAAGUCAAAUCCAUGAGCAGCGAUCGAAGGGCCAACUUUUCGGUUACGUUCGAGAUCGUGCGGGUGCACAAGAAACAACCCAGAUAUCCGCUGGAGGUUUUCCAGCAGGUGCGAUUGCAGUUCUCCUUCCGGAACUACAGCGAGUGCGACAUCUACCGGGAAAUGUACCGCGAUCGGGGUAUCGUGCGCGAAGAACUCGAACAGGGAAAAGUGUACUUUCUGUUUGUGAGGCAGAUCGAUCUCAGCAACUUUACCAUCCUCGGGCAGCCGAUCCGGAAGAACAGACGUACCGCCAACGGCGUGAUGGAGGGGGUUAAGGAAAAUUAUGGUAAACCACCAAAAAUCUAUUCCAUUACGUCGAAUGUGACGCGACAAGAGGGCAAACGGGUGCGUCUGGUGUGUAAAGUGCAGGGAGAACCGCCACCCAAAGUCACGUGGUUCAAGGACAAGCGUUCCAUCAAUCGGAACGUGACGAAAUACGCUCAAGUUCACCUCAAAAAACGAUCCGAGCUCAUCAUUCAUUCGGUGAUUCCCAGUGAUGCUGGAGAGUACGAAUGCCGAGCUAAAAAUAAGUUCAACAAGAUUUCCAACUCGACGCACCUUCGAGUAACGGCCAAACAUUCGAGCACCAAGCAACCAAAAACGACACAUUCACCGGAACCUCCAUACAACCCGCGGCCCUGCAAGGGGCCGGGCGCAGAACACUUCUGUCUGAACGGUGGCACCUGUAUACACUUCGAGGAUCUCCAAGAGUGGGCAUGCACAUGUCCCAAAGGUUUCUCGGGCAACAAGUGCGAGAACAAAGCGAUCGACUACCACCCAACGACAUCCAGCAAGCACCAGGACUGCUCGUACGGUUAUGGAUAUGGAGCGAACAAGUGCAAAUAUGCAAUUUCCGACAAGUUGGCCUAAACUGCACGAAGCAAUCUAUAGGGUGCUGGUUCAGGGUAGUGGUGCCGCAGCCUAUUUCACUACACAGACAAGAAAGCAUCACUCGAACGAAAACAACAGAGGUCACCCGGAGUGUGCGGACUUCCUACUGAUGGACUCACCGGCAUUACCCGUAAUACCACCGAUGUACGAUUACGAUGACGACAGUGAAAUCUGAUCCACUCGCCGAAGUCACUGAACCGAUAUCCCAAUCCUUGGCGGACUGGGAAGACUGCGCCAUGUCGAAAGAAACGAGAUUUGAACCAAUCCAUCGUGAUACGGUGGAAGCGAUUAGAACGAAUGAUAUUUUUUGAAUUCUCAAGCCAAGAGAAUGAAACAGUCAAUGAUGAUAUUCCAUUUGUUUUAAGUGAUUGUGCAUAAUUUGUAAUGCAAUUUUGUCGACGGAACUAAUUGGAAAAACAGAAAAAAAAGUUGAAAAUACCAAAGAUGUAAAUAUCACUGUAGUAGUUGUAAUAAAUUAUUGACUUAUACUAACGUUGGUGUAAAUUUUCUAUACUAUAUGUGUUGAAAUAAAAACUCUACAAGCAUGA